AACGCACAUUGCGCCCUCUGGUAUUCCGGGGGGCAUGCCCGUUCGAGCGUCAUUGACACCACUCAAGCCCGGCUUGGUCCUGGGCGUCGCGGCCGUCCGGCCGCGCGCCUCAAAGUGCCCCCGGCCGCAGUGGUCCGCCCGAGAGCGUUGUGGAUAACAAUAUCGCUCUUCCCGGCGCGGGCCCCGGCCGUCGUCGCGAUCGCCUCCGCGCGGUCGCGGAAACACACACCAGGUUGACCUCGGAUCGGGUAGGGAUACCCGCUGAACUUAA
rnacentral:misc_RNA from 1 species